GAUUACGUCAUCUGUGUACACGUCAUCCACGUAACACUCGAAAUCUUGUCAUCAGCUAUCUCAGGUUGUAUUUUGUUACCGAUUAUAUUUGAAUAUAUUCGACUUUGCAGUGCUUUUUAAGUUUUUGUUGGUUAUUUUACAAAUGUAGUGGACUUACAUUUUACGAAGUUUUUGUUGAACUUUGAACUUCUGAACUGAAUGUCUUGGUUAUCGAUUCAAUGUAUCAUAGUGAGCCUUUUUACGGCGUAUAUUCUAGUAUUUAAUAUUAUACAGGUAUAUUGGAUUUUAUUGCAGAUCAGUUAUAGAUCAGUUAUUUUAAAAACCGUCUUUAGAUUAUCAUUUUUAAUUUUAACUUCUCGGAACUACUGCUUACCAACAGAUUGUUGAUUUUUUAUUUAGUAUAAAGGAGUUAAUCCUGUAUGGUCGACUAACAUAGAAAUACCGGUUUUAGUUUCCUUAUUUUAAAAUCAUUUUAAUUAUCUUUUAAUUUACAUUUUAACUGAUCUCAAAGUUGGUGUAGCAUUGUAAUUAUGACGUCAUGUAGCCAGAAUAAUAUCUGUUUCACUAUUCAAUCAUUGUUGUGGGCGUGUGUAUACAGGCGCCCUAUCUACAUUAUCAUUAUAUUACUGAUAUGUUUUAUAUGUCGUCGUCUUUCAUCGAGUAUCACCGGUCUUCAGUGGGAGUGUAAAUAUAUUCACAAUAAAUAUUCCAUAGAUAUAUCC
rnacentral:misc_RNA from 1 species